AUGGGAAGGCUGAUCUACACCAAUUCGGUGGUGACGGCUACUGCGACAUUCUUUUUGACAGCGUUUCAGCCGGAUAAGUGGCUGAUUAAAAAGGUGGACAAGCUUAGAGAGAAUUUCCUCUGGGAGGCGGAUAACACAUCAAUAGGCAGGAAAAGCUUGGUAAACUGGAAGCAAGCUUGCUCCCCAAAGAAAUAUGGAGGAUUGGGCAUAAAAAACAUCGAGUGUUUCAGCCGAGCCCUCAGAUUACGCUGGGAAUGGUACAGAUGGGAGGAGAGAGAUAGACCUUGGAAAGGGACAGAUACGCCAUGCGAUGGUGUUGACAAGCAGCUCUUCUCCAAUUGCACCACGAUUUCUCUGGGUGACGGAUCUUUGGCAAGUUUUUGGAGGGACAGCUGGUUGAAUGGUGAAGCUCCAAUGGUUUUGGCACCUGCAGUGUUCAAUCUGGCCCGCUUCAAAAAAGUCUCGGUCAAACAAGGAAUGCAUAAUGCUAAAUGGAUGCAGGGGCUUAACCGGAUAAGCAAUGCCGAGGAGCUGCGCCAGUUUGUUCAGCUUUGGAACAAGGUUCAAGGGACAACUUUGUCGACGGAGAAAGACACCAUGGUUUGGAACCUCACUGCCAAUGGCUCAUAUUCGGCCUGUUCGGCAUAUGAGGCUCAAUUUUUCUCUAGGAUUGAGAGGCCAUGGUUGCGGGUGUGGUCGAGCAAGAUGGAAGGAAAAGUGAAGUUCUACCUAUGGCUCUUGCUCCAGAACAGAAACUGGACUGUUGACCGCUUGCAAGCAAGAGGCUGGCCUCACAAUGAUCUCUGCAAGCUAUGUGACCAGGAACCUGAAACUGCAAACCACAUCGCUCUGCUCUACUCUUUUGCCAAAGAGGUUUGGUUUCAGUUCCGAGACUCUCACAAUGCAAUGUUCGCUGUGGCCGAUGAGGCGCAGACCGUGGGUGAAUGGUGGGAGAGGCUCUGUUCCGCCAGCGGGUCCAGGGAGCAAAACAGGGUGAAUAUGACCGUGGCAGCCUACACUGUGUGGAACCUCUGGAAGGAGAGAAAUCAACGAGUAUUUGAGCAUAAAGAGCUGACUGCUAUUGCUCUAGCUGGGCUCAUCAAGGAUGACAUCAAGUGCUUAGAGGAGGCAACUAGAGGGAUUCACAAUGUAGGGCUGUAUUUUUUUCUGUCUCCUAAUCUUCACGUUGUAAUGUGGGAUGCGACCUCCACACGAUGGUGCAUCCGUUUCUGUAUGUCUUCUCUUCUAUAA
rnacentral:rRNA from 1 species